rnacentral:rRNA from 1 species
UUUGAAGUUAGCGGCGGACGGGUGAGUAACACGUGGGUAACCUACCUAUAAGACUGGGAUAACUUCGGGAAACCGGAGCUAAUACCGGAUAACAUUUAGAACCGCAUGGUUCUAAAGUGAAAGAUGGUUUUGCUAUCACUUAUAGAUGGACCCGCGCCGUAUUAGCUAGUUGGUAAGGUAACGGCUUACCAAGGCGACGAUACGUAGCCGACCUGAGAGGGUGAUCGGCCACACUGGAACUGAGACACGGUCCAGACUCCUACGGGAGGCAGCAGUAGGGAAUCUUCCGCAAUGGGCGAAAGCCUGACGGAGCAACGCCGCGUGAGUGAUGAAGGGUUUCGGCUCGUAAAACUCUGUUAUUAGGGAAGAACAAAUGUGUAAGUAACUGUGCACAUCUUGACGGUACCUAAUCAGAAAGCCACGGCUAACUACGUGCCAGCAGCCGCGGUAAUACGUAGGUGGCAAGCGUUAUCCGGAAUUAUUGGGCGUAAAGCGCGCGUAGGCGGUUUCUUAAGUCUGAUGUGAAAGCCCACGGCUCAACCGUGGAGGGUCAUUGGAAACUGGGAAACUUGAGUGCAGAAGAGGAAAGUGGAAUUCCAUGUGUAGCGGUGAAAUGCGCAGAGAUAUGGAGGAACACCAGUGGCGAAGGCGACUUUCUGGUCUGUAACUGACGCUGAUGUGCGAAAGCGUGGGGAUCAAACAGGAUUAGAUACCCUGGUAGUCCACGCCGUAAACGAUGAGUGCUAAG